AUAAUUUGAAUUGGACACUCAACGUCUCUCUCUAACGGCACUCUCUCAUGAGCUGGCCACACACCUCACACACCUCCUCACUCUCUCAUUACACUCAGACCCACUCAUUACUAAAAGAGGGGAAUUCCUCACAAUCAAAAAAAAGAAAAACACUCUCUCAUCGCUCUCUCUCAGACUCGCUCUCCCACACAUAGGUCCAUCACCAAAUCACUCUCAGAAAAUUCACUCACACACACCUCACUCCAUUUCUCUCAUUCA
rnacentral:lncRNA from 1 species